GUCAGGCAUGCUGGGUGUAGUGGUUGUGCACAGGCUGACCCCUCAGCCCUUCAACCUCUGCAGGUUAAAUAGAGCGUCCGGAUGGGAAAAUACACGGCUUGAGGAUACACUCUGCCAACCUGAAAAAGGCAAAGCGAGCAAACGUUCUGGUCAUUUAUAAAGGACCCGUCUGUACUGAAGACUGCUGUUGUGAAGGCAGAGCGGGAAGCCCCUUUAACUGUGAGAUGAGCUCCCACAAUGCAAUGCCCAGGUGCGGGUUUUGUAUCUGAAUGAAGAAAACACAGAAGAAAUCUGGAAAGCCGCUCAACUUUUUACAUAAAUGGACAUAUGGUGCCAUACUGUCCAACGGUAGUUCAUUUGGGAUUGGUGCAUAGACCGUCAUGAAAGAAUAAAACGUCCUCCUCCUAGACCAAAUCUUACCUUUGCCAAAUAUUUCCUUGAC